UUGAAAGGGAAACGAUUGAAGUCAGUCGUACCUGUGGGUAAUCAGCCUUUUGGGUGUGAUUUUGUGGAGUGUGAAGAGUUAAACGCCUUUAUGCCUGCAUAUUCGUGCACUUUGGGUGUAUUUACCCGUGUGGUAAGUUAACAUCAAUUUUGGUCGUCAUAGAAUGGCUGGAGGAAUGUAGCUUCGAUCUCGUAUUGAAGUGUUAUAGCCUUCGGUAGAUGUGAUAAUCGGGAUUGAGGAUUGCAACGGAUACCCUUCGGGGCUACCUGUCUGAUCUCUGAUCGUUGCUCUGGUGCCGAAAGCUUGCUUACGGUUAUCAAAGUCGAUGGUCAAUAGGUUAGAAUGGGUUAAAUUCGUUAAGGAUGUUGACGUA
rnacentral:rRNA from 1 species